CUACUUCCAUUUCAAAUCUGCUGUAUAAAUAGAGAAGCAUCUUAGCCUAAUAUUUCAUCAAAUAUCAGACACUUUCUCUGCAGGCAAAUUAAGAAGGGUUAAAAAUGGUGUUCUCAGCCAUAUUAAGUUGUUUUGUUCCAUCUUCUUCCUCGACCCGAGUCUUCAAUGAUGCUGGUGGGUCUAGUGUGAAGGAACCUAAGAGCAAGUCAUCGAAAUCUUCAUCAAGAGCUCCGAUCCCGGUCUCUUACUUCCCUGUUAACUCCUACCUCUCUCGCUUGUAGUGAUUAAUUUCAUGGCAAGGUGGAGUUAGAAUUUGAAGAAUAUCAAUCGAUUAUUCAUUCAGUCUAGGUAUGAUAUGAUGGGGUUCCUCAUCAUGCAGUUGCUUGAGGAGUGAUGAUGGAGUUUGUUUUAAUGUACAGUUUGAUGAUUAAUUUGCAAUAAUUAAUUUCAAGAAUAUUGUUGAUUUCCUCCAAUUGCAUGCAAUGAAACAGCUCUUUUUAAUGUAAGUCGGGUGCGAUGAUACCAUGAAAUUACCUGCAACCAAAUAAGACAUUAACCCCAACUGAAUUUUCUUGUUGUUUCUGAAUUUGAUCAGUAAAGGAGGAAGUCUUAAAAAAGCCUAUGGAAAAUGACCCCACCAUUUUGGAGAAACACUAGGUGAAAUUUGAUCCACAGAAUGAAGAUCAGGUAUUCAUGGUGGGAUUUGCCUUAUGGUCCAUGACGAUAAAAGCUUAUUAUUCUUCUAUGCAUGCACCAAAGAAAAAGGGAAAAUUAAGCCGCCUUACUUUGCCUUUUUAUUCUCCUAAAAAGUCUGCAAUAUGCGCCUCAAAUCCAACCUAAGUGUCUCUGACACCCUCUUUCUGUCCAUCCAUUAAAAGGUACUAACUUUAAAAUUGUGAUAUCUCACAUAUUAUAGAAAAAAAGUUUGAUUUUAAUCUUGUAUAUAUAUUUUAAAGUUGUGAGUAUCUCUCGAACUUUAAUGAACAAUAUCUACGCAAGAGAUGACAAAUUAUUAUAAAUUAUAUUAGAGUUAAUUUCCUAUCCAAUGAAAGUUUAUUUGACCUUGUAAAUGAUUUUUAUCUUUUUGUUAUCACAAUUCUAUGCAUUAUAAUGAGGACGUUGCGUCCAUUUGAAGGUACGCUAUAUAUGUAUUGAUUCUUCUUCAUUUUAUAAGCAUUUUUUAAAGUCAUGAGUGUUUAUGAGGCACAAAAUGGAUCACUACAAAUAAUAAAAUAUUAAAGAAAAGACAAAAAGGGAACUUCGAACAACUUAUGAAGAUCAACAAUAUAUACUAGACCGUUAACAUUAUCUAUUUAUCUUUGAAUCGAGCAAGCAACAGUGAUUGACAUGCUUGUUGGUGGGACCUAAUUCAACAAUGAAUUGUUUUUUUUGAUAGGAAACAAUGAAUUGUAUUACCACAUAUUUUAAUACUUAAAGUUUCUAUAAUUAAUUAGUCUUUGAAAAUGAUACAUAUUUAUUGUAGAGGCUACAACAAAAGCCUCUGCAAUUAUUUUUAAGAGAAAUUAUUUAAGGGAUUUUUUGUAAUAAGAACAUGAAAUAAUAAUUUAUUUUAUUUUUCAAAAAAGCGUCUAUUUCAUAAAUUAAUUUUAGUGAUUUUCUAGAUUUUUAAAAAUUUACUGAGCACAAUAUUAAAAACUUUUGUAUUCUAGGGAAGUCAUGAGACUUGGUCAAGAUAUGGAAUAUGGGAUGACGUUAAGCCUGAGAAAGAAAAUAUAAUUUCCCGGAAAGUAAAAGUAGGAUGUCUAAGGAAGAAAGCAUGAGAAUCACAUUGGAUGAUUAGUUUUAUUUAAUCUUAUUCCAAAGGAGACUUUAGCUAAUAUGUUUUAAUUUUCUUCAUUGUUUUGGUCCCACCCUCUAUUUGUUUGUUGCCUAGAGCUUCCCAUUUUUGCUGAAAGGUUUUCUUCUUCUGUGUCAGACUAAUCAAAAUUUCAAAGGUGGUGUAAUUUGACACGACUUUCUUCAAAGAUUCGGGCCCUAGUGUACAAAAGCUUAGUUGUCGGGUCUUUUUCUAUAGUCAAAUGACUCAGAUCAAGGUAGCAGCAGCUGCCACGAUUGUCACAGGAAGCUCAAGGGAAUCAACCAUCUGAGAUAUUUAUAGUUUAGCUUUCCUUGAUAUGCAAGUAAACCAACCCUACUUCCAUUUCAGAUCUGCAUUAUAAAUAGAGAAGCAUAUGUUAGCCUAAUAUUUCAUCAAAUAUCACACACUUUCUCUCUUUUCUAGUUUUCUGAUCAGGCAAAUUAAGAAGGGUUAAAAAUGGUGUUCUCAGCCAUACUAAGUUGCUUUGUUCCAUCAUCUUCCUCGUCCCGAGUCUACAAUGAUGCUGGUGGGUCUAGUGUGAAGGGACCUAAGAGCAAGUCAUCGAAAUCUUCAUCAAGAGCUCCGAUUCCGGUCUCUUACUUCCCUGUUAACUCCUACCUCUCUCGCAUGUAGUGAUUAAUUUCAUUGCAAGGUGGAGUUAGAAUUUGAAGAGUAUGAAUGGAUCAUUGAUUCAGUCUAGGUAUCAUAUGAUGGGGUUCUUCAUCAUGCAGUCGCUCAAGGAGUGAUGACGGAGUUGGUUUUCAUGUACAGUUUGAUUGAAGAAUAUUGUAUUAGAUCUUCAUCUUGUUAAUUUCCUCCAACUGCAUGCAAUAAACAGUUCUUUUUAAUAGAAAGUUGGGUACGAUGAUACCAUGAAAUUACCUGCAACCAAAUAAGACAUCAGCCCCUACUAUGAAAAUUAAGAAACACACAAAAAAGUUCAGUUGGGGUUUCCAUUGGAAAGAAUCGGUACUUGAAAUAUUGGCAAUCAGUGAUUACCAUAUGUAUAACUGCUAAGUAAACCCUAGAAUCAGUUAGGGUUUACCAUCAUCGAAGACAAAGGUUGUUCGUAUCAUAUAUUAAGCAAAAACUACUUACAUCAUACAGAAGAUAAUCAGUAAGGGAAGAAGUCUUAAAAAAAGAAAAGGAAACUGAACCUACGAUUUUGGAGAAAUUAGGGUGUAAUUUGAUCCACAAGGUGAUGACUGAUGAGUAGAUAUGCAUGGUGGGAUUUGCCCCAGCGGUCCAUGAUGAUAGAAGGCUAUUAUCCUUUUACACAAGCACUAAAAGAAAAAGGAAAAAUUAAGCCGCCAUGCUUUGUCUUUUCAUCCGCCCAAAAGUCUUGCAAUAUGCACCUCAAAUCAAACCUAAGAGUAUCAAUCACUCUCUUUCUCUCCAUCCAUUAAAAAGUAUUAAUUUCAAACUUGUGAUAUCUCACAUUGUAGGAAAUAAUAGCCUAAUAUUAUAUAUGUAUAGGUUUUUUAAUUUUGUACAUGUACUUUAAAGUUGUGAAUAUUGUUGAACUUAAAAUGGAUAAUAUCUACAUGAAAAAGAGUAAGUCAUUACAAAUGAUAUUAAAAUUGAUCAUCAAUCUUAAUGUGAGAGUUUAUUUGACCCUGCAAUGAAUCUUUUUAUUUCUAUGAUCCUAUGAGAUACCACAAAGAUAUUGUGUACUCAUAUGAGGGUGCGUUAUAUAUGUAUUGAUUCUUCUUCUUCUUAUAAAUAAAUUUUAAAGUUGUGAGUGCCUAUGAGACCCAAAGCGGAUUAGUACAAAUAUUUAUAUAGACUUACAUUUAAAUCUAAUAAAAUAUUAUUUGUUAUAUUAAAAUAAAUUGUUGUUUUUUUAAAUGAAUUGGAAAUAUUUUGAAGUGUUUGUUUAUAAAGAAUUUUAAUAAAUAAUUGAAGAUAUGAAGAUUGAUUGUAGGGGACUCCUGACAUGUGUUCAACAUUUCAAAUAUUGGCGAGUACCUAAGAUAUUUAUUUGAUAUUAUUCCAAAGGAGACUUUAGCUAAUAUGCUUUAAUUUUCUUAAUAGUUUUGGUCCCACCCUCUAUUUGUUUGUUCCCUAGAGCUUCAUAUAUAUAUAUUAGACUAGUCAAAAUUUGAAAGGUAAUAUAAUUUGACAUGAUUUGUCUUCAGACUUGGACGCUACAUUCCCCCUGUACAAAAGUUUGACUGUUAAUUCGGUUUUUUUCUAUAGUCAGAUUAAGCUGGCAGCAGCCGGCACGAUUGUCACAGGAAGCGCAAGGGAAUUUACCAUCUCAUAGAUUAAUCAAUUAGCUUUCCUUGCUAUGCAAGUAAAUCAACCCUACUUCCAUUUCAUAUCUGCAUUAUAAAUAGAGAAGCAUAUGUUAGUCUAAUAUUUCAUCAAAUGUCACACACUUCCUCUCAUUUCUAGUUUUCUCAGGAAAAUUAAGACGGGUUAAAAAUGGUCUUCUCAGCCAUAUUAAGUUGCUUUGUGCCAUCAUCUUCCUCGUCCCGAGUCUUCAAUGAUGCUGGUGGGUCUAGUGUGAAGGAACCUAAGAGCAAGUCAUCGAAAUCUUCAUCAAGAGCUCCGAUCCCGGUCUCUUACUUCCCUGUUAACUCAUACCUCUCUCGCUUGUAGUGAUUAAUUUCAUGGCAAGGUGGAGUUAGAAUUUGAAGAAUAUCAAUCGAUUAUUCAUUCAGUCUAGGUAUCAUAUGAUGGGGUUCUUCAUCAUGCAGUUGCUUGAGGAGCGAUGAUGGAGUUUGUUUUAAUGUACAGUUUGAUGAUUAAUUUGCAAUAAUUUGAUUGAAGAAUAUUGUAUUAGCUAGAUCUUCAUCUUGUUAAUUUCCUCCAACUGCAUGCAAUGAAACAGGUGUUUGAUGAUACCAUGGAAUUACCUGCAAAUAAAUAAGACAUCAAAACCAAUCUGAAAAUUCAGAAACAGCAAAAAAUUAAGUUCAGUUGGCCGGGGAUUCCAUUGGAAAUUAAGAAUCGGUACUUGAAAUGGAAAUUAGUGAUUACCAUAUGGAUAACAGCUAAUAAAACCCCAGAAUCAAUUAGGGUUUAUCAUCAUAUAUUAAGCAAAAACUACGUGCAUUAUACAGAUGAUGAUUGGUAAAGGAAGAAGUCUUAAAAAUGCAUGCCAAUGGAAAAAUUAGGGUGAAAUUUGAUCAACAGAGUGAUGAUUAGGUAUGCAUGAUGGGAUUUUCCCAAUCCGUCCAUGAUGAUAAAAGCCUAUUAUUCUUGUAAACAUGUACUAAAAGAAAAAGGAAAAAUUAAGCCCUCCUACUUUUCCUUUUCACCCCCCAAAAAGUCUCCACUAUGCACCUCAAAUCAAACCUAAAAAUCUCUAUCACUCUCUUUGUGUCCAUUGGUUAAGAAGUACUAAUUUCAAUAUUGUGAUAUCUCACAAGUAUAGAAAAAAAGUUUUUAACACUAUAUAUACACGAACUCCUUUUAAUCUAAUAAAGUCAUGAGUAUCUGUCAUACUAAGAACAAACAAUAUCUAUGUGAGAGAAAAAAAGUUGUUAUAAAUAGUAUUAGAGUUUAUCUUUGAUUUCGUUGUAGAAGUUUGUUUGACCCCACGAGGGGUAUCUGUUUCUUUAAUCCCACAAUCCUACUGAACAUAGUUAAGACGUUGUAUUCGUAUGAGAGUCUAUUCAUGUAUUAAUUCCUCUUAACCUAAUACACUACUUAUAAAGUUGUGAGUACGUAUUAAACUUAGAAUAUGUACUCAUAGUAGGUCAUUACAAAUAUUUAUGCGGACUUACAUUUAAAUCCAAUAAAAUAGUGUUACACAAAUAUUAUAUAAGUAUGAAACACACUCUCAUUUGAGUAUAUAUAUAUAUAUAUAUAUAUAUAUGUACACUACCGAAUAAUGGUUCCUUAAUUUGAUUAUAUGUCUAAACUAGACAAUUGAUAAAAAAAAUACUUUGAAAUGAAAUUGAUGUAAAAGAAAAUAAUGAGUUAUAUAAAGAGUAAUUAAUGCGACCUUUGGCCUUAUAAUUAAGUAUGGUUAAAUUACAUUUUUUAAUUCUCUUAGUAUGUGAGACCCAAAUUAUUGAAUAUUUUUUUAGGUUGUUAUUCAAUUGAUGAGAAUGACAAAUUUAUGGCUACCAACAAUGAUGUUUAUUAUUUAAAGCUACUCAUUUUGAAGAAGUCGCAUACCAAUCCUUAAACUAAAUCAAUUAGGUCUUAACUACUUUUUUAUUUAAUUUUUUUUUUGUAAUGAGUUGGUCAACACUGAAGCCUUAAUUUUAUGUUUGAAAACUUUAUUUUAAAUACACUUCUAUUAAAAAUAAGAAUAAUGUUAGUAUAUUUAAUAGUUAUUACUACUUUGGUCCCACUCUGGAUGUGUUCGUUCUCUGAAGCUUCCCAUUUUCUCUCGAAGGUAAUUUUUGUCUAAUGUCUCUCUAAGUUUUGAAAAGUUUUCUCAAAGACUUGGCCACCACAUCCCCCCUGGACAAAAGUUUAAUUUGGUCAAAUUAAGCAGCCAGAAUUUUCUCCAGAAGCUCAAGGGAACCAUCUCACAUAUUAUUUGGAUUUCCUUUCUAUGCAAGCAAAUCAGCACUAUAAAUAGCGAACAUCUUGGCAUAAUGUUUCAUCGGUCAUACUUCCUCUCAAUAUUUCUGGUUUUCUCAGACAAAUUAAGAAGGGUGAAGAAUGGGGUUCUCAGCUAUACUAAGUUGCUUUGUGCCAUCAUCUUCCUCAUCCCGAGUCUUCAAUGAUGCUGGUGGGUCUAGUGUGAAGGAACCUAAGAGCAAGUCAUCGAAAUCUUCAUCAAGAGCUCCUAUCCCUGUCUCUUACUUCCCCGUUAACUCCUACCUCUCUCGCUUGUAGUGAUUAAUUUCACUGCAAGAGUUAGAAUUUGAAGAGUAUGAAUGGAUCAUUGAUUCAGUCUAGGUAUCAUAUGAUGGGGUUCUUCAUCAUGCAGUCGCUCAAGGAGUGAUGAUGGAGCUGGUUUUCAUGUAUUGUUUGAUGAUUAAUUUGCAAUAAUUUGAUUCAAGAAUAUCGUAUUAGAUCUUCAUCUUGUUAAUUUCCUCCAACUGCAUGCAAUGAAACAGCUGUUCGAUGAUACCAUGGAAUUACCUGCAAACAAAUAAGACAUCAAUCCCAAUUCUGAAAAUUCAGAAACAAGAAGAAAUUAAGUUCAGUUGGGGUUUCCAUUGGAAAUUAAGAAUUGGUACUUGAAAUGGCAAUAAGUGAUAACCAUAUGCGUACAGCUAGUUAAACCCCAGAAUCAGUUAGGGUUUAUCAUCAUGUAUUAAGCAAAAACUACUAAUUACAUUAUACAGAUGAUGAUCUAAAAGGAAGAAGUCUUAAAAGCCUAUUAUUCUUGUUUCCACAUGCACUAAAGGAAAACGGAAAAAUAAAGCCACCUGCUUUGCCUUUUCAUUCUCCCAAAAGUCUCCAAUAUGCACCUCAAAUCAAACCUAUGAAUCUCUGUCACUC
rnacentral:lncRNA from 1 species